UGAACCAGUGCUGAGAAUAGGUUAUGAUCUAAUCAUAAUGUUGAAUCCAUUUCUUUGUACCUGAAGUCCAAG
rnacentral:snoRNA from 1 species